UACGAAGGGGGCAAGCGUUGUUCGGAAUUACUGGGCGUAAAGGGCGCGUAGGCGGUUUAUCAAGUCGGGGGUGAAAUUCCCGGGCUCAACCUGGGGGCUGCGCUUGAUACUGAUGAGCUUGAAUGCGGGAGAGGAUAGUGGAAUUCCCAGUGUAGAGGUGAAAUUCGUAGAUAUUGGGAAGAACACCGGUGGCGAAGGCGGCUAUCUGGCCCGUAAUUGACGCUGAGGCGCGAAAGCGUGGGGAGCAAACAGG
rnacentral:rRNA from 1 species